rnacentral:rRNA from 1 species
UACGGGGGGGGCAAGCGUUGUCCGGAAUCAUUGGGCGUAAAGCGCGUGUAGGCGGCUCGAUAAGUCCGUUCUGAAAGUCCAGGGCUCAACCCUGGGAUGCGGAUGGAUACUGUCGAGCUCGAGUCCGGAAGAGGCGAGUGGAAUUCCUGGUGUAGCGGUGAAAUGCGCAGAUAUUGGGAAGAACACCGGUGGCGAAGGCGGCCAUCUGGACCGGAACUGACGCUGAGGCGCGAAAGUCAGGGGAGCGAAUGGG